rnacentral:rRNA from 1 species
GGGUUGUGAGGUUAAGCGACUAAGCGUACACGGUGGAUGCCCUGGCAGUCAGAGGCGAUGAAGGACGUGCUAAUCUGCGAUAAGCGUCGGUAAGGUGAUAUGAACCGUUAUAACCGGCGAUUUCCGAAUGGGGAAACCCAGUGUGAUUCGUCACACUAUCAUUAACUGAAUCCAUAGGUUAAUGAGGCGAACCGGGGGAACUGAAACAUCUAAGUACCCCGAGGAAAAGAAAUCAACCGAGAUUCCCCCAGUAGCGGCGAGCGAACGGGGAGGAGCCCAGAGCCUGAAUCAGUGUGUGUGUUAGUGGAAGCGUCUGGAAAGGCGCGCGAUACAGGGUGACAGCCCCGUACACAAAAAUGCACAUAUUGUGAGCUCGAUGAGUAGGGCGGGACACGUGGUAUCCUGUCUGAAUAUGGGGGGACCAUCCUCCAAGGCUAAAUACUCCUGACUGACCGAUAGUGAACCAGUACCGUGAGGGAAAGGCGAAAAGAACCCCGGCGAGGGGAGUGAAAAAGAACCUGAAACCGUGUACGUACAAGCAGUGGGAGCACGCUUAGGCGUGUGACUGCGUACCUUUUGUAUAAUGGGUCAGCGACUUAUAUUCUGUAGCAAGGUUAACCGAAUAGGGGAGCCGAAGGGAAACCGAGUCUUAACUGGGCGUUAAGUUGCAGGGUAUAGACCCGAAACCCGGUGAUCUAGCCAUGGGCAGGUUGAAGGUUGGGUAACACUAACUGGAGGACCGAACCGACUAAUGUUGAAAAAUUAGCGGAUGACUUGUGGCUGGGGGUGAAAGGCCAAUCAAACCGGGAGAUAGCUGGUUCUCCCCGAAAGCUAUUUAGGUAGCGCCUCGUGAAUUCAUCUCCGGGGGUAGAGCACUGUUUCGGCAAGGGGGUCAUCCCGACUUACCAACCCGAUGCAAACUGCGAAUACCGGAGAAUGUUAUCACGGGAGACACACGGCGGGUGCUAACGUCCGUCGUGAAGAGGGAAACAACCCAGACCGCCAGCUAAGGUCCCAAAGUCAUGGUUAAGUGGGAAACGAUGUGGGAAGGCCCAGACAGCCAGGAUGUUGGCUUAGAAGCAGCCAUCAUUUAAAGAAAGCGUAAUAGCUCACUGGUCGAGUCGGCCUGCGCGGAAGAUGUAACGGGGCUAAACCAUGCACCGAAGCUGCGGCAGCGACGCUUAUGCGUUGUUGGGUAGGGGAGCGUUCUGUAAGCCUGUGAAGGUGUGCUGUGAGGCAUGCUGGAGGUAUCAGAAGUGCGAAUGCUGACAUAAGUAACGAUAAAGCGGGUGAAAAGCCCGCUCGCCGGAAGACCAAGGGUUCCUGUCCAACGUUAAUCGGGGCAGGGUGAGUCGACCCCUAAGGCGAGGCCGAAAGGCGUAGUCGAUGGGAAACAGGUUAAUAUUCCUGUACUUGGUGUUACUGCGAAGGGGGGACGGAGAAGGCUAUGUUGGCCGGGCGACGGUUGUCCCGGUUUAAGCGUGUAGGCUGGUUUUCCAGGCAAAUCCGGAAAAUCAAGGCUGAGGCGUGAUGACGAGGCACUACGGUGCUGAAGCAACAAAUGCCCUGCUUCCAGGAAAAGCCUCUAAGCAUCAGGUAACAUCAAAUCGUACCCCAAACCGACACAGGUGGUCAGGUAGAGAAUACCAAGGCGCUUGAGAGAACUCGGGUGAAGGAACUAGGCAAAAUGGUGCCGUAACUUCGGGAGAAGGCACGCUGAUAUGUAGGUGAGGUCCCUCGCGGAUGGAGCUGAAAUCAGUCGAAGAUACCAGCUGGCUGCAACUGUUUAUUAAAAACACAGCACUGUGCAAACACGAAAGUGGACGUAUACGGUGUGACGCCUGCCCGGUGCCGGAAGGUUAAUUGAUGGGGUCAGCGCAAGCGAAGCUCUUGAUCGAAGCCCCGGUAAACGGCGGCCGUAACUAUAACGGUCCUAAGGUAGCGAAAUUCCUUGUCGGGUAAGUUCCGACCUGCACGAAUGGCGUAAUGAUGGCCAGGCUGUCUCCACCCGAGACUCAGUGAAAUUGAACUCGCUGUGAAGAUGCAGUGUACCCGCGGCAAGACGGAAAGACCCCGUGAACCUUUACUAUAGCUUGACACUGAACAUUGAGCCUUGAUGUGUAGGAUAGGUGGGAGGCUUUGAAGUGUGGACGCCAGUCUGCAUGGAGCCGACCUUGAAAUACCACCCUUUAAUGUUUGAUGUUCUAACGUUGACCCGUGAUCCGGGUUGCGGACAGUGUCUGGUGGGUAGUUUGACUGGGGCGGUCUCCUCCUAAAGAGUAACGGAGGAGCACGAAGGUUGGCUAAUCCUGGUCGGACAUCAGGAGGUUAGUGCAAUGGCAUAAGCCAGCUUGACUGCGAGCGUGACGGCGCGAGCAGGUGCGAAAGCAGGUCAUAGUGAUCCGGUGGUUCUGAAUGGAAGGGCCAUCGCUCAACGGAUAAAAGGUACUCCGGGGAUAACAGGCUGAUACCGCCCAAGAGUUCAUAUCGACGGCGGUGUUUGGCACCUCGAUGUCGGCUCAUCACAUCCUGGGGCUGAAGUAGGUCCCAAGGGUAUGGCUGUUCGCCAUUUAAAGUGGUACGCGAGCUGGGUUUAGAACGUCGUGAGACAGUUCGGUCCCUAUCUGCCGUGGGCGCUGGAGAACUGAGGGGGGCUGCUCCUAGUACGAGAGGACCGGAGUGGACGCAUCACUGGUGUUCGGGUUGUCAUGCCAAUGGCACUGCCCGGUAGCUAAAUGCGGAAGAGAUAAGUGCUGAAAGCAUCUAAGCACGAAACUUGCCCCGAGAUGAGUUCUCCCUGACCCUUUAAGGGUCCUGAAGGAACGUUGAAGACGACGACGUUGAUAGGCCGGGUGUGUAAGCGCAGCGAUGCGUUGAGCUAACCGGUACUAAUGAACCGUGAGGCUUAACCUUACAACGCCGAAG